rnacentral:rRNA from 1 species
GUGAGGAAUAUUGGUCAAUGGGCGAGAGCCUGAACCAGCCAAGUCGCGUGAAGGAAGAAGGAUCUAUGGUUCGUAAACUUCUUUUGCAGGGGAAUAAAGUGCAGGACGUGUCCUGUUUUGUAUGUACCCUGAGAAUAAGGAUCGGCUAACUCCGUGCCAGCAGCCGCGGUAAUACGGAGGAUCCGAGCGUUAUCCGGAUUUAUUGGGUUUAAAGGGGGCGUAGGUGGUUUGAUAAGUCAGCGGUGAAAGUUUGCAGCUUAACUGUAAAAAUGCCGUUGAAACUGUCGGACUUGAGUGUAAAUGAGGUAGGCGGAAUGCGUGGUGUAGCGGUGAAAUGCAUAGAUAUCACGCAGAACUCCGAUUGCGAAGGCAGCUUACUAAGCUACAACUGACACUGAAGCACGAAAGCGUGGGGAUCAAACAGGAUUAGAAACCCUAGUAGUCC